GACGAACGCUGGCGGCGUGCUUAACACAUGCAAGUCGAACGGCAAGGCCCUGCUUUUGUGGGGUGCUCGAGGGCCGAACGGGUGAGUAACACGUGAGUAACCUGACCUUGACUUUGGGAUAACUUCAGGUAACUGGGGCUAAUACCGGAUAGGAGCUCCUGCUGCAUGGUGGGGGUUGGAAAGUUUCGGCGGUUGGGGAUGGACUCGCGGGUUAUCAGCUUGCUGGUGGGGUAGUGGCUUACCAAGGAUUUGACGGGUAGCCCGCCUGGGAGGGUGACCGGCGACCAUGGGCCUGAGGUACGGCCCAGACUCCUACGGGAGGCAGCAGGGGGGAAUAUGGCCCAGUGAGCGGAAGCCUGAUGCAGCAACGCCGCGUGCGGAAUGACGGCCUUCGGGUUGUAAACCGCUUUCGCCUGUGACGAAGCGUGAGUGACGGUAAUGGGUAAAGAAGCACCGGCUAACUACGUG
rnacentral:rRNA from 1 species